AGUAACGCGUGGGUAACCUGCCUUGUACUGGGGGACAACAGCUGGAAACGACUGCUAAUACCGCAUAAGCGCACAGCUUCGCAUGAAGCAGUGUGAAAAACUCCGGUGGUACAAGAUGGACCCGCGUCUGAUUAGCUGGUUGGUGAGGUAACGGCCCACCAAGGCGACGAUCAGUAGCCGGCCUGAGAGGGUGAACGGCCACAUUGGGACUGAGACACGGCCCAA
rnacentral:rRNA from 1 species